ensembl:lncRNA
AAUAUUUAAUUUAAUUAAGAAUUUAUUCUGAGUUGAAUAUCUGACAGUUAAUGAUGUAAAGUUUGUAAUUAAUGGUAAAUGUGGAAUGGCGAAUUGAUAUUGGAUAAUGUAGAUCCUGUGCGGCACAUGUGACGUAAGUGAUAUGAGAAUGUUUGAUUAGAUCAGAUAGACAUGUGUGUAGCUGGGAAGCAUACAGCUUUUUUACCAUCAUCCGUCAACAUCAUCCGUCAACGAAGUUUUGCAAUUAUUAUUUUAGUGUGAUAUUGUGUUUAUUUACUACUACUGCAAGUAGAGAUUCUGUUCUUUGGUGAAGAGCAAGGAAAUAAAAGACAUCAAUGGUCAGUCAUCUGGGUCUUGUGAGUAGAAACUGUGGAUAAAGAACGAUAGAAAUUGCAAGCUAGCUACGGAUAUGAGUCAGAAAAACCUUUCAUCCUGCACACAUGAAUAAGUGGUUAAAAUUAACAACGAAAAUAUAAGACUGAAAUUUUGCCACUACAAUAAAGUAAAAAAGCUCGCUAGAGUCGAAAGCUGACUAAAGUGAAGAAGUUUGGUAAGUCAAAUGACUGCAAAGAGCUAGGAAAAGUUCGCCCAUUGAAGCUAUUGGAAGCUAGCAAAGAAGCUAAGUGGAUGACUCAGCAAGCAUUGGAGUUAGCUUAGCAUCGCAUUGAUGUCGUUAAGAAGAGCUAAGUGAAAGUGCUUAUCAAAACGGGAUUUUAUGCUGAUUCUACUUGGACGUGACUGAGCUGGGUUUUGGAUGGAAUUGUAAGGAUUUGUGUUGUGUUAUAACCGAAGACAGCUGUGCCCAACUGAAACAAGGCUUUGUGAGUGAAGUAGCUGCAACAUUGUGGAAUAUCAACAAACAAUGACGAGCGAAAAGGACGACGUGCCUGUCAACACUCGUGAGAGGACGCUGACGGCUAAAGGAGCAGAGAAUAGACUGCAUAUUCUCACAAACGCCAGAAGAGGUAAAUUAUCACAAUUGACUGCAAAAUCAAACGAAAUUGAUCUACUUUUGAACAGUGAAGAAUUGCCUGCUGUACAUGACAUUCAAAAGGAAUUUAAAGUGUACAAGAAACAAUAUGAAGAGUUUAAUGAGUGCAAUUGUGCAGUAGCAUCAUGUCUCAAUGCUGAAGAAAAGGAGG